ACGAACGCUGGCGGCAUGCCUCACACCUGCACGUCGAACGCGACCUUCGGGUCUAGUGGCGCACGGGUGCGUAACGCGUGGGAACCUGCCCUUAGGUUCGGAAUAACUCCCCGAAAGGGGUGCUAAUACCGGAUAAUGUCUUCGGACCAAAGAUUUAUCGCCUUUGGAUGGGCCCGCGUUGGAUUAGCUAGUUGGUAGGGUAAAAGCCUACCAAGGCGACGAUCCAUAGCUGGUCUGAGAGGAUGAUCAGCCACACUGGGACUGAGACACGGCCCAGACUCCUACGGGAGGCAGCAGUGGGGAAUAUUGGACAAUGGGCGAAAGCCUGAUCCAGCAAUGCCGCGUGAGUGAUGAAGGCCUUAGGGUUGUAAAGCUCUUUUACCCGGGAUGAUAAUGACAGUACCGGGAGAAUAAGCUCCGGCUAACUCCGUG
rnacentral:rRNA from 1 species